rnacentral:lncRNA from 1 species
GAAGCAGGAAACUCAGUGGCAUUUCCGACUGAUUCAGUAUGCACACGGCGAAAAGCCCCGCGGCCAGUCAGCGAUAAGGGGAGAGGGGAAAUGACUUGCAGGAGUCGCAGAUGACUGUGUGAUGAGAUCAUUAAGUGCAUUCGCGAUGAGAAAGUCAUUUGAGAAAGUCAGUUGCUAGAGAAAGUCUUUUUCAGCCUUUGGUGAUGUUUUUUUGUUGUUGUCGCGUUCCGGUUUUUGUAGCAUGUAACUGCGGAGUGUCGCGCCAUGGAAAGGUGUCUGCAACCCCGGGCUCCCUCCUGCACGACUCUUGGCGUUUGCAACAGCAAGGGGCGGAGGAAGAAAACUCGAGUCCGGAGACAGACAACCACAAGAAGCUGAAAUCGCCAUGGUGA